UGAAAAGAAAUCUAGGUUGCGUUCUCAUCGUCGCCUCCGUCAUGUCUUUACGUUUCUGGUAACGGUUCAGCAGAGACUUUACUCCCGUUGAUUGUUACCUCCACGACGUCUCUUCAAUGCGGUCCUUGCGUCACAGAGGCGAUGAGUUUUUUGUGUAUAAAUAGAUGUUUCAGGAGAGACUGUUGGAUCCAAGAGAAGCAAGCAAGAUUAAGCUGAACUUAAUAUAGAAGUGUAAUCGGUACCUGAAGGUACUUCUGCAGUCCUAUGUAUACACAUUAAAAGUUGUGGCUCUGCUCUGGGAUCCAUGCAACAGACCGACUGCUGCAGAGGCUUGGUACGUUCCGUCCUUUCAGAGUUUCAGGUACACCAGAUAGUAUGUGCUUCAGACGCUAUGGCUGUUACCGUUCCUGUCUUCAUCAGUUGAUUUAACUUUUGUACAUGAUGUUAAGUGUUUGCUGUGCAAUCUUUGUAGCUGCAGAGGCUCUGUACGUUCCGUCCAUUUUUUUGUACUGGAAAGAUUUUCUUUUUUUGAAGAUAAUAUUAACAGUUUAUAUUGC